GAUGAACGCUGGCGGCGUGCUUAACACAUGCAAGUCGAACGGAAAGGCCCAAGCUUGCUUGGGUACUCGAGUGGCGAACGGGUGAGUAACACGUGGGUGAUCUGCCCUGCACUUCGGGAUAAGCCUGGGAAACUGGGUCUAAUACCGGAUAGGACCACCUCUUGGAUGUUGUGGUUGAGAGAUUUUUGGGUGUGGGGUGAGCUCGCGGCCUAUCAGCUUUUGGGGGGGGUAAUGGCCUACAACGGGGUCGAGGGGGAGCCGGCGUGUGAGGGUGUACGGGCACAUUUUGGGAGAGAGACAGGCCCCACACCCAUGGGGGGGAGAAGUGGGGAAAAUUGUACAAAGGGGGCAAGCCUGAUGCAGCGCAGCGGCGUGGGGGAGAACGGGCUUCGGGUUGUAAACUCCGUUCGCGAGGGACAAAGCGUUUUUGUGACGGUACCUGGAGAAGAAGCACCGGCUAACUACGUG
rnacentral:rRNA from 1 species